CCUACGGGUGGCUGCAGUGGGGAAUAUUGCACAAUGGGCGCAAGCCUGAUGCAGCCAUGCCGCGUGUGUGAAGAAGGCCUUCGGGUUGUAAAGCACUUUCAGCGGGGAGGAAGGCGUUAAGGUUAAUAACCUUGUCGAUUGACGUUACCCGCAGAAGAAGCACCGGCUAACUCCGUGCCAGCGGCCGCGGUAAUACGGAGGGUGCAAGCGUUAAUCGGAAUUACUGGGCGUAAAGCGCACGCAGGCGGUCUGUCAAGUCGGAUGUGAAAUCCCCGGGCUCAGCCUGGGAACUGCAUUCGAAACUGGCAGGCUAGAGUCUUGUAGAGGGGGGUAGAAUUCCAGGUGUAGCGGUGAAAUGCGUAGAGAUCUGGAGGAAUACCGGUGGCGAAGGCGGCCCCCUGGACAAAGACUGACGCUCAGGUGCGAAAGCGUGGGGAGCAAACAGGAUUAGAUACCCGUGUAGUC
rnacentral:rRNA from 1 species